CGGUAUGUAGCAUCCACCUUGACAUGGUGGGGGUCGUUGGUUCGAGUCCAAUUGUGCCUACCA
rnacentral:tRNA from 1 species